rnacentral:rRNA from 1 species
GACGAACGCUGGCGGCGUGCCUAAUACAUGCAAGUAGAACGCUGAAGGAGGAGCUUGCUUCUCUGGAUGAGUUGCGAACGGGUGAGUAACGCGUAGGUAACCUGCCUGGUAGCGGGGGAUAACUAUUGGAAACGAUAGCUAAUACCGCAUAAUAGUAGAUGUUGCAUGACAUUUGCUUAAAAGGUGCAAUUGCAUCACUACCAGAUGGACCUGCGUUGUAUUAGCUAGUUGGUGGGGUAACGGCUCACCAAGGCGACGAUACAUAGCCGACCUGAGAGGGUGAUCGGCCACACUGGGACUGAGACACGGCCCAGACUCCUACGGGAGGCAGCAGUAGGGAAUCUUCGGCAAUGGACGGAAGUCUGACCGAGCAACGCCGCGGGAGUGAAGAAGGUUUUCGGAUCGUAAAGCUCUGUUGUAAGAGAAGAACGAGUGUGAGAGUGGAGAGUUCACACUGUGACGGUAUCUUACCAGAAAGGGACGGCUAACUACGUG